rnacentral:lncRNA from 1 species
AUGGGUUCUGCAACUUUGCUGCUUCUGCAGCUGAGAUCAAUUCUGAGGACUGUACUCCUGGAGCCUCCUCAUCCGUCUAUGUCAACUGUGAAUUUCAACACUACCAAGGUCUGCAACCAGAGCUUUUCUUCAAGAUGUCCCAUGAAAUCUACAAUUAUGGUGAAGGGUAAGUUUACAAAAAAAAAAAAAACGGAAAAUGAAAAAAGUAAGAACGCAGACAAUUUGAUGAUCUCUCUCUACAGUAAUCCUAGCUCGCUUUAUAUUCUUUGGUGAUCGAUUUUAAGUUUAUAAAGCAAAUUAACUCAAGUUGAUUUUGGUUCGAUGGGAAGCAGAUUGAUAGGAAAAGUGGCUGCAGAUCACAGUCACAAAUGGAUAUAUAAAGAGCCAAACGACCAGGAAAUCAAUUUCUUGUCAGCAUGGCAUAACUCUGCAGACUCAGUAAGCAUAUUCACACACAUAUACGCAUAUAUAUUCCAUGUACACUUCUGAUGGCUUAUUAGAAGGUUGUGAUUUCAUGCUGCUCCCUUCUUACGGCAGAAAUAUAUGUGAUUCUAAUUACUAAAUAUGAUCUUUUACAGCAUCCGAGGACAUGGGAAGCCCAGUUCCAGUCCGGUAUUAAGGUAUAAUAUGACAACAGCUAUAAUAUAGUUUAAAGAUCAUAUAUAUGUAUAUCUAUCUACAUAGAUCUACUUGUUUUGAUCAGAAAAAUAUUUUUGCAGACUAUUGCCCUGAUUGCAGUUCGAGAAGGUGUCGUCCAGUUAGGAGCUGUUCACAAGGUCAUCUCUCUUUCUAGUUUUCUGAUCUAUCUCCCUUCAAGAAGCUUUCUAUAAGUAGAAAUUUAUAUAUUCAUAGAUUAAAUUAGGUAAUACAUACGCAACAAUCAUAAGACAAUAAAAAAUAAAACAAUCUUUAAAUAAAUAAGAACAGACAGAAGCUUAAUUCGACUUGAACUCUUUAAUCUAUUUUCUUUUUUUUUUUUUUUUACACUUACACUAAAAAUGAUAAAUUUGUUUCGAUUGGAACCUGAAGGUAAUUGAAGACCUGAGCUAUGUUGUUCUACUAAGGAAGAAAUUCAGCUACAUAGAGAGUAUACCAGGUGUGCUGUUGCCACACCCCUCAUCUUCUGCAUAUCCUUUCAAUGGCGGAGUACCAGACGCAUGGCACUUCCCCGCCACCUACGACCACUUCAACCAGCCCAUGAAGAUAAC